AUAUGGUCCAAUUGCCACAGCCAGAGUGGAUCUAGAAAAAAAGGAUUAACAUCUGAUACGUCCCCUAUCUGGGGACCAUAUAUUAAAUGGAUUUUUAGAACAGGGAGAUGGAAGAAGAGCUUGCUCUGUCCACUCCACGCAUUGACCUGGUAUUGCAGUACCUCCAGGACUGGUGCACCAAAA